rnacentral:rRNA from 1 species
AUUGAACGCUGGCGGCAGGCCUAACACAUGCAAGUCGAACGAGGGGCGGACGGGUGAGUAAUGUCUGGGACACUGCCUGAUGGCGGGGGAUAACUACUGGAAACGGUAGCUAAUCCCGCAUACCAGCAGAUGUGCCCAGAUGGGAUUAGCUAGUAGGUGGGGUAACGGCUCACCUAGGCGACGAUCCCUAGCUGGUCUGAGAGGAGGACCAGCCACACUGGAACUGAGACACGGUCCAGACUCCUACGGGAGGCAGCAGUGGGGAAUCUUGCGCAAUGGGCGAAAGCCUGAUACAGCCAUGCCGCGUGUGUGAAGAAGGCCUUCGGGUUGUAAAGCACUUUCAGCGGGGAGGCGUUACCCGCAGAAGAAGCACCGGCUAACUCCGUGCCAGCAGCCGCGGUAAUUC